ACGAACGCUGGCGGCGUGCUUCACCCCUGCCAGUCGAACGGAAAGGCCCUGCUUUUGUGGGGUGCUCGAGUGGCGAACGGGUGAGUAACACGUGAGUAACCUGCCCUUGACUUUGGGAUAACUUCAGGAAACUAGGGCUAAUACCGGAUAGGAGCUCCUGCUGCAUGGUGGGGGUUGGAAAGUUUCGGCGGUUGGGGAUGGACUCGCGGCUUAUCAGCUUGUUGGUGGGGUAGUGGCUUACCAAGGCUUUGACGGGUAGCCGGCCUGAGAGGGUGACCGGCCACAUUGGGACUGAGAUACGGCCCAGACUCCUACGGGAGGCAGCAGUGGGGAAUAUUGCACAAUGGGCGGAAGCCUGAUGCAGCAACGCCGCGUGCGGGAUGACGGCCUUCGGGUUGUAAACCGCUUUCGCCUGUGACGAAGCGUGAGUGACGGUAAUGGGUAAAGAAGCACCGGCUAACUACGUG
rnacentral:rRNA from 1 species